rnacentral:rRNA from 1 species
AAUCACGCAGCAAAAGGGCGCCUGGGGGAUGCCUAUGGCUUCUGGUGGCGAUGAAGGACGUGGCAAGCGACGAAACGCUGUGGGGACCCGCUGGCAGGGGCUGAUCCACAGGUAUCCGAAUGGGGCAACCCACUAUCUUGAAGAGAUAGUACCUCCUUGGAGGGGCGAACGCGGAGAACUGAAACAUCUAAGUACCCGCAGGAAGAGAAAACAAGUCGUGAUUCCGUCAGUAGUGGCGAGCGAAAGCGGAACAGCCCAAACCAUCUGCGUUACGGCGUAGGCGGGGUAGUAGGACCCGACAUCAAGCCAACAAGCGAACUGAAAUGAUCUGGGAAGGUCAACCACAGAGGGUGAGAGUCCCGUACGGGUCAGUGCGUUGGUGGGUUGGGGAUCCUGAGUAGGGGGGGACCGGAGAAAUCCCCUCUGAAUCGGCCGGCACCAUCCGGUAAGGCUAAAUACGACCAGAAGACCGAUAGUGGAGAGUACCGUGAGGGAACGGUGAAAAGCACGGGGAGUACCCGGGUGAAAUAGACCCUGAAACCAGGCGCUUACAAGCGGUCGGAGCUCCUAGUGUGGAGUGACGGCGUGCCUUUUGCAUAAUGAGCCUACGAGUUACCGUCACUGGCGAGGUUAAGUACGUGGACGUACGCAGCCGAAGCGAAAGCGAGUCUGAAUAGGGCGUCGAGUCAGUG